CAAGGGGCUCUCACCACGAGAUGAGUCCGCGGCCCAUCAGCUAGUUGGCGGUGUAAUAGACCACCAAGGCUAAGACGGGUAGCUGGUCUGAGAGGAUGACCAGCCACACUGGACUGAGACACGGCCCAGACUCCUACGGGAGGCAGCAGUGGGGAAUAUUGGACAAUGGGCGAAAGCCUGAUCCAGCCAUGCCGCGUGAGUGAUGAAGGUCUUCGGAUCGUAAAGCUCUGUGGGAAGGGACGAAAAAGCCUAACCUAAUACGUUAGGUCUUGACGGUACCUUCUUAGCAAGCACCGGCUAACUCCGUGCCAGCAGCCGCGGUAAUACGGAGGGUGCAAACGUUGCUCGGAAUUAUUGGGCGUAAAGCGCACGUAGGCGGUCCGCUAAGUCGGAUGUGAAAGCCCUCGGCUUAACCGAGGAAGUGCAUCCGAAACUGACGGGCUAGAGUACGGAAGAGGGUUUCGGAAUUCCCGGUGUAGAGGUGAAAUUCGUAGAUAUCGGGAGGAACACCAGUGGCGAAGGC
rnacentral:rRNA from 1 species